UGAGGAAGGAGAAGUCGUAACAAGGUUUCCGUAGGUGAACCUGCGGAAGGAUCAUUGUCGAAAUCGAACGGAAGAACGACCCGCGAACCGUCUCUGCGUAACGGAAGUCGUGUGGGCGCGGGCCUUCGCGAAAGGGCCGCGCCGCACCGGCGAACUAACAAUCUCAGCACGGAUAGUGCCAAGGAGCUGUGAAGGCGAGAAUCGCCGUCCCACGCCCCCGGUCCCCCUCGACGGGGGGCGGGGGACGCGCGCGUUCUCCGCUAUUAGUCUCAAUGACUCUCGGCAACGGAUAUCUCGGCUCUUGCAUCGAUGAAGAACGUAGCGAAAUGCGAUACUUGGUGUGAAUUGCAGAAUCCCGCGAGCCAUCAAUUCUUUGAACGGAAGUUGCGCCUGAAGCCAUCCGACCGAGGGCACGCCUGCCUGGGUGUCGCGAAUCCACUUGCCCUCGGGCUCUCGCACGACCACGGGCGGGGAAACGCCCGGGCACAUAAUAUUGCCUCUCAUUGGAUCGGCGUGCGCGGCACGCCGUGGUGUGGUUGGCCGAAAGUCGAGCAUUGUGGCGACGGGCUCCGCGACGUUCGAUGGAUCGAAUGCGAUUGGCUCUGUCGUGGGCUCGGGACUAGGACUAGGACUAGGACCAUCCCCGAGCGCGAUUCUAGGUCAGGCGGGGCUACCCACUGAGUUUAAGCAUAUCAAUAAGUGGAGGAAAAGAAAGUAACGAGGAUUCCCUUAGUAGCGGCGAGCGAACCAGGAGGAGCCCAUCAUGAAAAUCGUUCGUCGUCGGCGGCCGAAUGGUAGUCUGGAGAAGCGUGUUUAGUGACGAACCAGACCCUAGUUUAAUGGAAGGUGGCGCUGGAGAGGGUGAGAGCCCCGUCGUGCCCAGACCCUGUCGCACCC
rnacentral:rRNA from 1 species